rnacentral:misc_RNA from 1 species
UACUUCGCAACCUUCCCGCACGUGCGCGCAGGAUGCUUAUACCCUAUAUAUUACAUACAAUAAUAGCGGGAACCGGGGAAGCUUGGGCAUCCCAGUAAAACGUGUAAAGAUAUUGUCGACGACAUUUUAUCAGCCGUAAGACGUACACGCGGUGCUGGAAGGAAAACAAAAAGAAACACAAUACUUCAUUUCACAGAUUAAGUGUCGUUUCAAAUUAUCUUUCAAAAUUAAUGCACAUAUGGAGACCUGCAUGUCGGGUUCAAAUGUUGACAUAUAAUACAAUAUUACCUAUAUUAGCUCACUUUUUAAGUUAAACUUUUGGCCAUUGCUAUUACUUUUACGUACGAAAGUGAUAUUUCGUCAAAUUUCAAGUCCCGUAAUUCUCAAAGAUUUGUAUUUGUUGCCUCUACUAUAACUAUAUAUGCAAUAUUAUUAAUAAUUUCUGUAGCUUGUCUAUAUACAUGCCUGAAUCAUGAUUAGGCUGAAACGAAACCCCUUUAGUCAACUCACACAAAGGCAACGGCGUAAUCGUUUAAAUGACCGUAGAAUGGCGAGGCAUGCCGAUGCUAAUCCUUAUUUACGUUGCAAUAUCGUCAAUAAUGAUAGUUCUGAGGAAAUAUCUUUGAAUAAUGGAAACGUCGUAGCAUCUAUUUUACCAAAUGACAGUCCUCCUCACGAACCGCAAAGUUCGGUUACUUGGAAUAACUUAGCUCACGAGGCGAAAGAUAAUUCUUCCGAAUAUGAGUGUUCAGAUUCAGAUGCUAUCUGUGAAGACGAUAGUAACAGUCAGUCUAUGGGUGAAGAAGGCAGUAUUCGAUUAAAAAAUUGCUUUCGAACACAGUUAGCUGAUUGUUUUAUUGAGAAUAACAUCAACAAUGUCCAGGCGAACUCAAUACUUACAGUUCUCAGAUCACAUCGCUGUUUGGCCUCUCUUCCACAAGAUGUAAGAACAUUGAUUGGGACUUGCAAUCGUCGCGUUGAAUUGAUUGAUGUUGAACCCGGAAAAUAUUGGCAUGUAGGUUUUGUUGCUGGAAUUUUAAAAGAACUGUCGAAACACACAUAUGCCAUACCUAAUAUCUUAGAAAUCGAUGUUAGUACUGAUGGAGCUGCUGGUGCAAAAGACGGUUCAACUCAGUAUUGGCCUAUCCAGUUCCGAAUAAUAAAUAUUCCUGAUAGCUCUAUACUUAUCGCAGGUGUCUAUUAUGGGAAGGGUAAGCCAAGAGACCCGAACAAUUUCUUUAAAAUGUUCACAAAUGAAGUCCAAGAGGUUUUCGCCAGCGGUGGUAUCCAUUUCAAGAAUCAUUUAGUAAAAAUAAAAUUCAGAUGCUUCAUAGCUGAUGCUCCGGCUAGAGGUUUUAUAUUAAACCAUAAAGGACACAUGUCUUCAAAACCGUGCUCUAAAUGCAAAGUUAUAGGCUCAAGGUUCGAAGGUAGAAUGAUAUUCCGAGGUACUGACCACCGUUUGCGAGCUGACAUAGAAUACGACCAGGAACUUGAAGAGGAUCACCACAAGGAGGGAGGCAGCCCUCUCACUCUUCUUAGAAUAGGUAGGGUAACAGGUGUACCAUAUGAUGAAAUGCACCUUGCAUUCUUAGGGGUAAUGAAGAAACUGAUCGAAGCAGGGGUUGACGGUAAGUUUUCUCGUGCUGCAAAGUGGUCAGGCCGACAAAUCAGUGUAAUAUCUUCACGUCUAAAAGAUAUUGGAAAACUAUGUCCACGAGAGUUCUCACGUCCUCCUAGGCCAAUUUCUGAAUUCAAACGCUACAAAGCAACUGAGUUUCGCCAGUUCCUCUUGUAUACUGGCCCUGUCGUGCUAUAUGGUGUAUUAGAACCUGACUACUACCUACACUUCCUGCUUCUUCAUAUAGCUAUUCGCAUACUUUCAACUUCGUCCGCAUCACCUGAAGAUCUUUUAUUCGCAGAAUAUGCUUUGAAAUUGUUCGUCACAUCUGCAGAAGACUUAUAUGGCCCAGCAUUUCUGAGUUACAAUGUACAUGGUCUGUUGCAUCUGGUUGACGAUUACCGACGAUUUGGUGUUCUAGAUUCAUUUUCCGCUUUUCCAUAUGAAAAUAACAUGCCUAUCUUUCGUAAAUAUGUAAGGAACCAACAUUGUCCUCUUCAGCAAUUUGCUCGGCGACUGAUGGAGCGUGAUUGUUAUACAACAUUUAAUAAAGUAUCCCACAGCCAUGAAAACAGAUUAUUAGGACUGCACAACGCUGGACCCCUUCCUGAGAAUUGCGAUGCAAGUGCCAGGCAAUUCGCUAAAUUGAAAUCUGGCAAAAAAAUUUUCAGUAUUAAUGACGGUAACAACACUGUUAUGCUUAAAGAUGGAUCUCUUUGUGAGAUUUGUAACAUUCUAGAUAUAGGUGGUCAUCAGGUUCUCGUAGCUAGGAAGUUUAAUACUGUACAAAAUUUAUACAAUGUUGGCAGAUCAUCAUCGUCCGUAGGAAUUUUCAAAUGUACUAAUGUCUCGAGUGAUAUUGAAUUAGUGGCAGUGUCAGACGUCGCAGCAAAAUGUUAUCGUAUGCCGCUUUGGUCUGGUACUGGCACAAAUUCAAAUAGAGUUGUGGUUGUAAUUAUGACCCUGUUGCAUCAUGCUUGAGUUUUUUCGGAAGAUUUUCCAAGUAUUUCUACUUUCCUAUCCUAGAUUAUUAUGUAAAUUUCUUUCUUUCUUCGCAGUAUAAUUUUUCUUUUGUUUCAUGUGUUCAAUAACUGUGCAGUAAAAUGCAGAAGAAAUCAAUAACACUGAGCAGCCAAGGACGCAUUAUUCAAAAUGCCAGAGCGAUAUUGUACAACCGAGUCGUCCGCAGAUGAGAGAACUGCAGCUCCAAACCUACUAAAGAAGCGCGUAUCCAUGGAGCAACGCAUUGCGAUGAUGGCGAAUCAAAUUACUUCAAAAGACUCACAACAUUUUGAAUUGGCCAGUGAUCAUGAUGACUCUGAGGAAAUCAUCCCAAAUUCACAAUUACACUCGAGCAACUCUAUAACAUUUAGCGAUGUAGUACGACUAACCACAAGACGACAAAAUCACGUGGAAGAGCAAAAUAAUCAUAUUCCUUUGAAUUCACAUGGAGCAUCAGUGAAUCUACGUCCGGUCACUGUAUCAGGUACAGUUGAAGAAAAUCGUUACCACACACCGACUGUGUCUUCAGAGCAGACACUUGAGCGUAUUGCCCGAUCCACCAUUGACAGUUUGCAAGAUCUUCUUCAACAGCAUGAGGAGCGACAAAAGCAAUGCUUUCUAGACUUUGCAAUGAGAAUUCGAAAGGACCACCGUGAAGACAUGACCAAGCUUAACAACUAUGCAGAGAAUCGUUACCAGCAUUUCGAAACAGUUAUCAAACAAAUGAUUAAAAAAGAGCAGGAUAUUGAACGGGCGUACCCAUAUGAGAAGCCACCAGGGUUCCCUCUUGAUUCCUUGGAGGUAUUCCAAGAGUUUGAAGAAGAUCCUGAAAGACAACGAUCUCUAAGACACUAUCUUAUUAACGUUGGUAGUGUCACAGCUAGAGAUGCUCUCAACCAAUUUUUGAAGGAAGCCAUGACGGAUAGCCUCACACAAAAAUUCUCUUGGACUGGAAAGACUGUUUCAGAUAAAGAGAAUCUGCGACCGUUAUUUAAUACCUGUAUGGGAAAGAUGCCUUACGUGAGUGUCGAACAAUACCACAGCCACAUGAUCGUACAGAAUUUGCGAGACUGAUGCAAGAGGCAAUUCGGGGCGCAAAACAAAGAUUGCGGGAUGCAAAACGACGUGCUAAUCGCUCUGUCCACGUGGAGGGUCACAGACAAAAAUAUAUGGCUGAAAUGGCUAAUCGUUACGAGGUUGAACACCCAGGACAGUAACACUGCGGAAUAAGAGGCCUGCAAUUUGACUAUUAAAGUUCCUACGCGUAUUCAAACAUACGUACUCAUGUACUUUGUUUGACUAAGAAAUAUUUUAGUACGUAUAGCUGUGAUGUUAGUUUUUAUGUUUAUGCUCAAGCACAGUAUUUAUAAUUUUGACUGCAGCUGUGAUAUCCACCAGUGAUACGUAACUAUAUGUGUUCCAAAGAAACAUACCUAUAUCAACAAAUGCGGCGGGUUUGUACUAACAUAGCUAUAAAAUAGCUAAA